rnacentral:rRNA from 1 species
AACACUUUUAUAAACCAACAUUUUUGAAAUAUAAAACAUAUUUACACCUUAAUAACUGAAAAGCGCACUUAUUAUACCUUCGCAGUUAACUUUACGUACCUUUUGCAUCAUGGUAUAACAAGAUUAUCACUAUUAGUCGAUCCCGAACGCCCUCAGAGCUGAGGUCCCACUGAUAUAGUUACCAAUAUUACAAUGUUACACUAUUGUAAUAAGAUAAGGCCUCAGCGGCUACAUACCCUCGCGGGGGCUGAUAGCUGGUUGCAUAGUUAUUUGAUUUAAGUCAAGGAAGCACUACGCUAUAAAAAUAUUAAAGGCAAAGCUUUAAUACACCCCCUAUUUACUUCUGACCAUAUUUAAUAUAAGCUUAAUACCAGCUAACUCCCGUUCCUGGGACAAACAAUAUUAACCUAAAUUAUAAUUUUUUGAAAAUACAUAUGCAAUGCCCAACUUUAUAGGGCCAUAUAUAAUGUUAUAACUAGUAUGUUAAAUUCAUUUUAAUCCUAUUAAUUAUAAAAUUAAAUAAUUUACAACUAUAUUUAAGUAAGGAACUCGGCAAAUUUUAUCCAGCCUGUUUAUCAAAAACAUCGCCUAUUGAACAUAUAAUAGGUCCAUCCUGCCCAGUGAUAAUUAUUCAACGGCCGCGGUAUCCUGACCGUGCAAAGGUAGCAUAAUAAUUUGCUUUUUAAUUGAAGGCUAGUAUGAAAGGACACACAAGGAUAAAACUGUCUCUCUUAAAUUAAGUAUAAACUGAUAAUUAGGUGAAGAAGCCUAAAUUAUAAUAAAGGACAAAAAGACCCUAUAGAGCUUUACUGGCUAGAGUAUUAUACUCAAUACCAGGUUGGUUGGGACAACCAAAAGACAUUAUCACCUCUUUUUAAAAUUCUAAAAUUCUUACCCAAUAAUGUAUAAAAAAUAGCUACCUUAGGGAUAACAGGCUAAUCCCACUAGAGAGAUCACAUUGACAGUGGGGGUUGGCACCUCGAUGUUGGCUUAGUGUAACUAUUAGGCGCAGCCGCCUAAUUUAGUUGGUUUGUUCAACCAUUAAAUCACUACAUGAGCUGAGUUCAGACCGGCGUAAGCCAGGUUAGAUUCUAUCCUUAUUUAACAGUUGAAUCAUAGUACGAAAGGACCCGGCUUCAGAGAUUAAAUCUUUAUAAAUCAAAAACAUU